CCUACGGGGCGCUGCAGUGAGGAAUAUUGGUCAAUGGACGAGAGUCUGAACCAGCCAAGUAGCGUGAAGGAUGACUGCCCUAUGGGUUGUAAACUUCUUUUAUAUGGGAAUAAAAUGUUCCACGUGUGGGAUUUUGUAUGUACCAUAUGAAUAAGGAUCGGCUAACUCCGUGCCAGCAGCCGCGGUAAUACGGAGGAUCCGAGCGUUAUCCGGAUUUAUUGGGUUUAAAGGGAGCGUAGGUGGAUUGUUAAGUCAGUUGUGAAAGUUUGCGGCUCAACCGUAAAAUUGCAGUUGAAACUGGCAGUCUUGAGUACAGUAGAGGUGGGCGGAAUUCGUGGUGUAGCGGUGAAAUGCUUAGAUAUCACGAAGAACUCCGAUUGCGAAGGCAGUUCACUGGACUGCAACUGACACUGAGGCUCGAAAGUGUGGGUAUCAAACAGGAUUAGCUACCCCUGUAGUC
rnacentral:rRNA from 1 species